rnacentral:rRNA from 1 species
GACAGAGGGUGCAAACGUUGUUCGGAAUUACUGGGCGUAAAGCGCGUGUAGGCGGCUAAGUAAGUCGGGCGUGAAAUCCCACGGCUCAACCGUGGAAGUGCACUCGAAACUGCAUAGCUAGAGUCCUGGAGAGGAAGGUGGAAUGCUUGGUGUAGAGGUGAAAUUCGUAGAUAUCAAGCGGAACACCGGUGGCGAAGGCGGCCUUCUGGACAGUGACUGACGCUGAGGAGCGAAAGCGUGGGGA